AAUAAAUCAAUCAGUACGGAGUAUCACCGAGCUCCAGAAUGAAUGUGCAACACAUCCGAGCUCAUGUACUACCACAAGAUGGCACUGUGGUCAAUGAUUUGGCACUGGCUCAUCACAAUUUUUUUUUUUUAUCUUUACAGAUCGAGGCUUCCUCUCCAGAUUUGACAAUGUUCUUCCUGCCAGCUUGGCCUUUGAUAAAUGCACUGCCUGCUCACAAGUGGUCCUGGACCAUUACGAGCGUGAAGGAUUCCAGUUUUGUCCAAGGUGUUCAACUCGUCUCACUCCUUCCUGGAGGAUUUGACGGGUCUGACCCUGCUUGCAUCAGGAGACACAGGCUGCUGAGAUUUGGGACAUGAGUGAUGAUGAAAGUAUCUGAAGACCGAUCCGUAGACGGACGAAGCUGACGCAGGUCAUCACUGGACACCUUGGCCAGCCUGCAGGACAUUACCAAAACUUGGGUAUCACUCAGAUGGAGCUUAACAUUAUUAAGACAUUCCUCGAUAAUGAAAUGAUGGUGGAUCCAGCACACUCUUAUUAACGAGGAAACGCAACAAUUCUGUUUACGUGAGUGAUUCCAAUACAGUCGUGUAGUCCACAACCAAAAUGUUUAACUUUACUGUUUGUUUACUCAAACGUCAAAAUCCUUGUCUGUCAUGAACAGCUAAUAACUAUAAUCUCUGUGGUGUCUCUCUAAACAAACUCCUUUUUAAUAAAAUAAAUCAUGAAAUAAAAAUUGUCCCAAAAAACAUCUAUCCAAUAUACUUAAAUAUUCUGUGUAAAUAAUGUGAUGAUGGGGGGAAAACUCGCGGUCAUGAAUCAGUCAUUUAAUGUGCUCAGUUGGAUUGGUUUUUAAUGUGAUUAUAAACUGGACUAUCCAUCCAUCUUCUGUACUGCAUAUCCCACACAAAGUCGCAGGGGAGCCUGGAGACUAUACCAGGGAACUCGGGGCACGAGGCGGGGGACACCCUGGACGGGGUGCCAACCCAUCACAGGGCACAAUCACACACCUAUUCACACACUACGGACAAUUUGGAAAUUCCAAUCAGCCUACAACACAUGUCUUUGGACUGGAGGAGGAAACCGGAGGAAACCCUCGGAGUACAACGAGAGAAUGCCAACUCCGCACACACCGGGCAGACGCAGGAUUCGAACCCCCAACCACGGAGGUGCCAGGCAAACGUACUACGAUCUAAGCCACCAUGCCCUCCAUAAACUGAACUAGAAGACCUUAAAUAAUUUUAGAGCAAAUUUAUUUUACUCUAUUUGGAAAUCAACACCUAGGAGUACUGCGUUGAUAAUCAGAAAUACUGUGUCUUUACAAUAAGCUCCCCAGACCAAAAAUGAGUUGCGUGUUUCAUUUCUUCUGGGAUACAUGGUUACUCUUCCUCUCACCUAAAUAACAGCAGCAAUCCUGUCACUUGUGGUUCACUUGCUGUUUUAAAUGACCCCACAGGUGACUGAGGUCUGCUGAUGUUACAGGCCAGUUACAAUGUCCCAGUGUUCCAUCAGCUUCCUUCCAUCUGCUUCCUUCCAUCAGCUUCCUUCCAUUGCAGGAACUACGGCUGCUUCUAAGGCCAAACAGACUUCAUAUAAAACCAUAAUUAACUUUUCCACACUAUCUGUUGUUACCCAGAUGAGUCUGGUUCCUCUCAAGGUUUGUUCCUCUUAACAUCUUAGGGAGUUUUUCCUUGCCACCGGCUUGCUCAAUUGGGAUAAAUUUGCAAAUUCAAAAUCUGUAUACUGUGUUUAUAUGUUUCUGUAAAGCUGCGUUGAGACAGUGUCUAUUGUAAAAAUCACUAUAAAAUAAUAUCAAAUAAAAUUGAAUUGAACUGAAUCAGCC
ensembl:lncRNA